ACCUGCAUCGAAAGUGAUUGUGGCUCUGCUUGUGACCCGGUCAUUGAUACUGCAGGAAGAGCACUAGUGAACGAUUUCCCGUGUUUGUAGGUUAUUUGGUAUCUUUCAAACCCUGUAACGUUCGCACA